UACGAAGGGGGCUAGCGUUGUUCGGAAUUACUGGGCGUAAAGCGCACGUAGGCGGAUACUUAAGUCAGGGGUGAAAUCCUGGAGCUCAACUCCAGAACUGCCUUUGAUACUGAGGAUCUUGAGUUCGGGAGAGGUGAGUGGAACUGCGAGUGUAGAGGUGAAAUUCGUAGAUAUUCGGAGGAACACCAGUGGCGAAGGCGGCUCAUCUGGUCCAUUACUGACGCUGAGGUGCGAAAGCGUGGGGAGCAAACAGG
rnacentral:rRNA from 1 species